CGCUGGAGGGCAGCGACCGGGGUGCCCGGGCACCGCGCACCUGGGGAGGGCUGGGGGGUCCCCCACAGGGGUCGCGAUCGCCCGCGGUGGCCGAGCGCAGCGCCUUCAGGGCUCCGGUCGGGGGAAACGUCUGAGCGACCCUGUAAUGGUUAGUGUCCAGAGCGCGGAGACGCCGCUACCACCUGCCCCGGACCCUCCACCCGACCCCUGCGUGGCCCAGGUCCCCCGCAGCGGCGCGCGUGGGAGGCGCCCCGGCGGUGUACGGCAACGCUCUGAUCCCUCUGCGCCCAGCGAGGACGGGGACACCGAGACGACCAGGAACGGCGUCGCAUGUUUGGAGGAGUGGAGUUGAGGGGGAAACAGCCCUGACCCUCUCAGGGGGCCGCGAGCGUGGAUGCCCCACACCCGGACCGCGGCGGUGCCAGCGUCGCACCCGAACGCACCCCAACGGCGGUGACGCUGGGGGUCCCGGCAGCCCCCAUUCGCCCAAGCCGUUCCAGUUUAGGCCACGACAGGAAAAGUCUGGGAGCCCAGUUCUGUGUCCCCCCGCGCCACUUCAGCGGAACAGCCGAAGAAACUUCCUGUGGUUCAGACACCUUGGUUUGUUGCAACUUCGGGCGCAGAAUGUUGGAAAGUAAAACUGGCGAAAACACACGUUUUGUGAUCGUCAUCUUUCAUUGAUUAUACACACGUGUGACUUGGAGUUUCCAGUAGGAAUACUGUACUUUGACUCUCCCGCACCUCAUUGAACGAGUAAUUAGUUAAAACAAGUCCCCAAAUUCCUUAAUCUCAGUAUGCAUAUGUAAACAAAAUCUGUAUAGGAUACAAAAUAAAACGCGCAAGUGGAAAACAAUUGCUUUUCAAG